CGCGUAGGCGGUUUGAUAAGUCAGAUGUGAAAGCCCACGGCUUAACCGUGGAAGUGCAUUUGAAACUGUCAGACUUGAGUACCAGAGGGGAAAGUGGAAUUCCCGGUGUAGAGGUGAAAUUCGUAGAUAUCGGGAGGAAUACCGGUGGCGAAGGCGACUUUCUGGCUGGAUACUGACGCUGAGGCGCGAAAGCGUGGGGAGCAAACA
rnacentral:rRNA from 1 species